rnacentral:rRNA from 1 species
GACGAACGCUGGCGGCGUGCCUAAUACAUGCAAGUAGAACGCACAGUUUAUACUGUAGCUUGCUCCACCAUAGACUGUGAGUUGCGAACGGGUGAGUAACGCGUAGGUAACCUGCCUGGUAGCGGGGGAUAACUAUUGGAAACGAUAGCUAAUACCGCAUAAUAUUAAUUAUUGCAUGAUAAUUAAUUGAAAGGUGCAAUUGCACCACUACCAGAUGGACCUGCGUUGUAUUAGCUAGUAGGUGAGGUAACGGCUCACCUAGGCGACGAUACAUAGCCGACCCGAGAGGGUGAUCGGCCACACUGGGACUGAGACACGGCCCAGACUCCUACGGGAGGCAGCAGUAGGGAAUCUUCGGCAAUGGACGAAAGUCUGACCGAGCAACGCCGCGUGAGUGAAGAAGGGUUUCGGAUCGUAAAGCUCUGUUGUAAGAGAAGAACGGGUGUGAGAGUGGAAAGUUCACACUGUGACGGUAUCUUACCAGAAAGGGACGGCUAACUACGUG